rnacentral:rRNA from 1 species
GAACGCUGGCGGCGUGCUUAACACAUGCAAGUCGAGCGGAAAGGCCCUUCGGGGUACUCGAGCGGCGAACGGGUGAGUAACACGUGAGCAACCUGCCCUAGGCUUUGGGAUAACCCUCGGAAACGGGGGCUAAUACCGAAUAGGACUUCCGGCCGCAUGGCUGGGGGUGGAAAGUUUUUCGGCCUGGGAUGGGCUCGCGGCCUAUCAGCUUGUUGGUGGGGUGAUGGCCUACCAAGGCGACGACGGGUAGCCGGCCUGAGAGGGCGACCGGCCACACUGGGACUGAGACACGGCCCAGACUCCUACGGGAGGCAGCAGUGGGGAAUAUUGCACAAUGGGCGGAAGCCUGAUGCAGCGACGCCGCGUGAGGGAUGACGGCCUUCGGGUUGUAAACCUCUUUCAGCAGGGACGAAGCGCAAGUGACGGUACCUGCAGAAGAAGCGCCGGCCAACUACGUGCCAGCAGCCGCGGUAAGACGUAGGGCGCGAGCGUUGUCCGGAUUUAUUGGGCGUAAAGAGCUCGUAGGCGGC